GCCAUAGAAAUUGGCUACACUAAAAAUGAAUUGGUGAAAUUUGAUGCAGAGCGAGAGGCUUUGGAGGCACAGUUGCAGCUGGCCUUGAGAAAUGGGUUCUCAACACUGUAUGGACCCUGUACAAAGUUCCAAGAGUAAGAUCUGUUACAG